UACGAAGGGGGCUAGCGUUGCUCGGAAUCACUGGGCGUAAAGCGCACGUAGGCGGAUUUCUAAGUCAGCGGUGAAAUCCUGGAGCUCAACUCCAGAACUGCCUUUGAUACUGGGAAUCUCGAGUCCGGGAGAGGUGGGUGGAACUGCGAGUGUAGAGGUGAAAUUCGUAGAUAUUCGCAAGAACACCAGUGGCGAAGGCGGCUCACUGGCCCGGUACUGACGCUGAGGUGCGAAAGCGUGGGGAGCAAACAGG
rnacentral:rRNA from 1 species